AUGUUUAGUACAACUAAUACUGUCUUAUUUGCCACUCUUACAGGAAUUCCAUAUAAACAACUGACUGUGGGUGUCCCCAAGGAGAUAUUUGAGAAUGAGAAGAGAGUGGCUCUGUCACCGGCUGGAGUUCAAGCCUUGGUUAAGCAAGGCUUCAAUGUUGUGGUGGAAUCUGGUGCUGGAGAAGCUUCUAAAUUUUCUGAUGACCAUUACAGAGAAGUUGGAGCAAAGAUUCAGGGGACCAAGGAAGUCUUGGCUUCUGAUUUGGUUGUGAAAGUGAGAGCUCCUAUAUAUAACUCAUCUCUAGGUGUACAUGAGGCAGAUCUUUUCAAGACAGCAGCAACCCUGAUUAGUUUUAUCUACCCAGCACAAAAUCCAGAUCUCCUGAAAAAACUUGCAGAAAAAAAAGCUACUGUUUUGGCUAUGGAUCAGGUUCCACGGGUCACCAUUGCUCAGGGAUAUGAUGCACUUAGCUCCAUGGCCAACAUUGCUGGUUACAAGGCUGUGGUCCUGGCAGCAAAUCACUUUGGUCGAUUUUUCACGGGUCAAAUCACAGCUGCUGGUAAAGUUCCUCCAGCAAAGGUGCUGAUCAUUGGAGGAGGGGUUGCUGGCCUGGCUUCUGCAGGAGCAGCAAAAUCAAUGGGUGCAGUGGUUCGUGGAUUUGAUACUAGAGCUGCAGCCCUAGAACAGUUCAAGUCUCUUGGUGCUGAGCCAUUGGAAGUAGACAUAAAGGAAUCUGGAGAGGGACAAGGAGGUUACGCUAAAGAAAUGUCCAAAGAAUUUAUUGAAGCUGAAAUGAAACUCUUUGCCAAACAGUGCCAAGAUGUUGACAUUAUCAUCACUACAGCACUUAUUCCAGGUUUGACAAUUGCUAAACGCAUCCAGAUUACAGAUCUGCCUCAGCUGGUGGCUGCUUUCCACAGUUUGGUUGGUUUGGCUGCUGUGCUCACCUGUGUAGCAGAGUACAUGAUUGAAUAUCCUCACUUCUCCGGCAACCCUGCUGCAAACCUCACCAAGAUUGUGGCAUAUCUUGGCACGUACAUUGGUGGAGUCACAUUCAGUGGCUCUCUUGUUGCAUAUGGAAAACUGCAAGGUAUCCUGAACUCUGCACCUCUGCUCUUGCCUGGUCGGCAUGCAUUGAAUGCAGGAUUGCUGGCUGCCAGCUUUGGAAUUACUUGCCUGGGUUCUGUGUCAGCAUUGUCAGCCAUAAUGGGUGUUACUUUAACAGCAGCUAUUGGAGGUGCUGACAUGCCUGUAGUUAUUACUGUCCUGAACAGUUACUCUGGAUGGGCUUUGUGUGCUGAGGGCUUUCUCCUGAACAACAACUUGCUGACCAUUGUUGGUGCGCUCAUCGGCUCCUCUGGGGCCAUCCUCUCUUACAUCAUGUGUGUGGCUAUGAACCGUUCCCUUGCAAAUGUGAUUCUUGGGGGCUAUGGCACUGCAUCAACAGCUGGUGGGAAACCUAUGGAAAUUACUGGAACUCACACAGAAAUCAAUUUGGACAAUGCAGUUGAAAUGAUAAAAGAAGCUAAUAGCAUUAUUAUUACUCCAGGUUAUGGCUUGUGUGCAGCAAAAGCUCAGUACCCAAUAGCUGAUCUGGUGAAGAUGUUGAGAGAACAAGGGAAAAACGUCAGGUUUGGUAUUCACCCUGUGGCUGGCCGUAUGCCUGGUCAGCUGAAUGUACUGCUAGCAGAAGCUGGUGUUCCCUAUGAUAUUGUACUGGAAAUGGAUGAAAUCAAUGAAGACUUCCCAGAGACUGACUUGGUCCUUGUAAUUGGUGCAAAUGAUACAGUUAAUUCAGCAGCUCAGGAAGAUCCAAACUCUAUCAUAGCUGGAAUGCCAGUUCUUGAGGUCUGGAAGUCCAAACAGGUCAUUGUAAUGAAGAGAUCUCUGGGAGUUGGUUAUGCAGCGGUGGACAAUCCCAUCUUCUACAAGCCCAAUACUGCCAUGUUGUUGGGCGAUGCUAAAAAGACCUGUGAUGCCCUGCAGGCCAAAGUCAGGGAAUCGUACCAAAGCUAA
rnacentral:lncRNA from 14 species